rnacentral:lncRNA from 1 species
CUCUCUUCUCUUAUUUCUAGAGAGAGAAGCUCUGCCUUCUCUCUAGAAUUUCUUCAUCUUCUCCGAUGAGAAGAGUGGUGGCCGGAGGCGGUUUCGGCGCGGUGGCCGAUGGUGGCACCACCGCGCCGGAGUUUUCAAACUCCGCCAAAUCAAAAAUUAUUUACGUUUUUAAACAUCCUUUUUUCUCCUCUUUCCAAAGAUCUACUUAGUUUUCACAAACAAACAACCCAAACUUCUAGAUCUAAGUUCAAACUUUCGAAAAUCUUUUUUUUAAAACAAACCUACAAAAAGUCCGGAUCUGUUUUUUGAGCUUGAAAGAUGGUAACGGUUUGAGGUUUGUGCGAAUUUGAUUGUGUUGGUUUGUGGUUGUUUACGAUUUGUACGGGUUGAGUUGGUGCUGGAAAAUUGUUCUCUGUUAACUGGAUUUUAUUUAGCUCUUUUUGUAAAUUUGGAUUGCAAGAACAAAUGGAAUGGAAUGAAAGUUGUUGUUUGUUUCUUUGUGAACUUCGGUCCCCCCUUUGUCUGUGUGCAGGUGGUUAUAUUUAUAGAGCUGAAUUUCUGUUGCUUGGAGAGGAACACGACAGCCUGUUAAUGAGCUGUGUGUGAGCUGUUUGUGAGCUGGUGGAGAUGCGGACAAAACUUUUAAUUUUAUGGAUAUUAAAAUAAAUAAUAAUAAAAGGAAAUAGAAGAAGAAAAAAAAUGAAAUGAGAUAAAAUAAUAAAAAAAAAAUAAUAAUAAAAAAAAAGAUUAGAAAAACAAAUUUAAAGUUAAAUAAAUAACAAAUGGAAAUUGAGAGAAGAGGGCCCGAUUCGGAACCAAAUAUGAGGUAUUUUAAAA